rnacentral:lncRNA from 1 species
GCAGCGCAGGCCGCUCUCCAUGGGUGAUGCUUUCAGGUGACCUAAGACCCAGCCUGGAGAAACUCCGACUUAUAAGCUAGACUCAGUCACUCUCUCUGGCACUGGGACCUCCAAGUACCAGGGAGAGUAACUGAGACUGGCUUUUAAGUCGGAGUUUAUGAGCUAGUUUAUAAGACAUCCUCAUGCCACCCCGAUGUCCUCUCCCAUCUCCCCUGCCACAUCCUUCCCUCCCAGUCCCGAAUGCCUACAGCCCUGUCCAUCCCCUGCUCUUUGCCUCCACAUGAACACCCUCCUUCUUCUUCCCUACCAAUUCUCCGGGUCCUUCGGGACUCUUUGGCUCAGGAGUCACCACCUCCAGGAGGUCUUCCUUCAGGAUGACCCUACUCAGGACUGGCUGAUGGCCCUCUCAUGUACCCCAACGGCACCCUGAUUCCAGCAUCCCUGCCUGUCUGCAAUGCCCAUUCCACCCCAUAGGAUCUCAAACCAGGCUGUUCAGCAUAAUCACUGCAGAGCUUUAAACACGCUCACACAGCGGUCCAGGCCCUGGCCCCAUCCCCGGCCUAAACACAAUUUCUGAAUUUCCCAAAUCUCCCUAGGGUACAUCCUAAGCAUCUGUACUUUUUAAGCCCCAGGAACAACUUUGAUGCAAGGCCCAGGUGCGAUUCCCUGCCUCUCCCUGAAAGCUUGCCCCACAUCUGGCCUCCCACCUGAGAACUGCACUUUGUUCACAAGGGCACUCCCAGGACCACCGUGCAGAACUAGAGCAAACUGGAAUAACUGGGAGAACCACAGUUCAAUUUCAAGGAAAAUAAAAUUUGUAUUGGCUGGGUGCAGUGGCUCACGCCUGUAAUCCCAGCACUUUGGGAAGCUGAGGUGGGUGGAUCAUUUGAUGCGAGACCAUCCUGGCUAACACGGUGAAACCCUAUCUCUACUAAAAAUACAAAAAACUAGCCGGGUGUGGUGGUGGGUGCCUGUAGUCCCAGCUACUCUG